GAUGAACGCUGGCGGCGUGCCUAAUACAUGCAAGUCGAGCGAACGGACGAGAAGCUUUCUUCUCUGAUGUUAGCGGCGGACGGGUGAGUAACACGUGGAUAACCUACCUAUAAGACUGGGAUAACUUCGUGAAACCGGAGCUAAUACCGGAUAAUAUUUUGAACCGCAUGGUUCAAAAGUUAAAGACGGUCUUGCUGUCUCUUAUAGAUGGAUCCGCGCUGCAUUAGCUAGUUGGUAAGGUAACGGCUUACCAAGGCAACGAUGCAUAGCCGACCUGAGAGGAUGAUCGGCCACACUGGAACUGAGACACGGUCCAGACUCCUACGGGAGGCAGCAGUAGGGAAUAUUCCGCAAUGGGCGAAAGCCUGACGGAGCAACGCCGCGUGAGUGAUGAAGGUCUUCGGAUCGUAAAGCUCUGUUAUUAGGGAAGAACAGAUGUGUAAGUAACUGUGCACAUCUUGACGGUACCUAAUCAGAAAGCCACGGCUAACUACGUG
rnacentral:rRNA from 1 species